AAAUAAAUACUCUCUCCUCCGCGUAGUUUCCGUCAACUGUCACCGCCUUGGCUCCCAAUCACCUUCAAGUCCAAACAGGAAGGUGCAGGGAGGCAAGGGAGAUGGCAGAUAUGAGCUUUAAUUUGCUUCUCGCUGCACUUUAGCCCCGGUGCACGCGGCUUCCUAUUCCCCCGCUCUGACCAGCUGCCCCGACUGCGCUCCCGCACCCCAGAGUCCUUCCUGUCACCUUUCAUUACCACAUUAUCCAGGAGGCGGCUCCCCGCGCAGCCGGGAAUUCACCAUCUGAAGUGUCGGAGGACCCGUCAGAGGCGAUCAGGGUUAAGCAUCUUGCCCAAGGACACAACAGCAUGAGGGACUAUGGGAAGCUGGGAUCGAACCGCCGACCUUCGGGGUUAGUGGACGACCGACUCUACCCCCUGAGCCUGUGGGAGGCAGCAGUGGUACCUGUAUUUCAUCAAGAUGGGUUACUCGAUGAAAACUCAUUCAUGGCCAAACUGUCGAUUUAUAAAAGCAGGAAAAACAAGACAGAAAAUAUCUCCGGACAAGAGCUGACACAAAUGUACGCGUCUCUGGUAAGAGCCAGAGUGAGAGUGGAUUUCAGAUUCCACUCUCUGAUGAAGGACAUACAGGAGUUUUUGAACCAGUGGUGUUUCACCACGUCUGUGUGUUCAGUGAAGGAGGGAGA